AAAAAUGCAGUUCAAGUGAGGUCAUGUCUAUUAACUUUUGAUUUUAAUGAUGUGUUAGUAAAUGUUAAGAGUAACAGUAUUAUAGUAACAUACAUGUCUUUUAAAGCCAUAAAAAGAAACUCAAGUCUGUAGAGACUCAAUUUCUCUACAUUGGGUCGUCAUAAGAGCAAUAGUACAGUUAGCAGGAAAUGGCACGUUUUAUCUCUAGUAGUCAGUAAAGUGUGAACAGCAGCUAGUUUAAGCAAAACAAGCUCUUCGAAGGGUUCGUUGACCACGUUAACCACCAGCGUUUCUGCUCAUCUCCUCCAAACCUCUGCACAAGUGCACUCAGUAUGGAAACUAUGCAGCCAUCACAACAGAUGCACAAAAAGGCUGGGUUUUUCUACAGUUUGAAUUAAAACUUCCACCUUCGACACGUUUUGAUCAUACCACUUCUGAAAGAAGGGCCUCUGUGUGUGUGUGUUCAUAUAAAGGCCAUGUGUCUGCAGUGAGUGUCAGUCUGAAGAGGAAGUUGUAGCAGUGUUGUGUGUUUUAGGCUGUGGUUAACGCAGCACUCUGCUCUUUUCAGACGCUUCAGCUGCCAGAAAGUGGUGUGUUAGAUUCAGAGGAGGACGUUUUUGCUAGUUGCUGUUUGUACUUCUGGAUUGGGGCUCAGAUUGCAAACCAUGCUCUCAACUUCGAGCCCAGGUCUCAGCACCCAGCUCCUCCUCAUCCUUGUCCCCAACCUCCAUCCCAGAAGACGUCUUCUUUAGCAGUUCACCUGAGGACAAGAGCAACGAGUGCAGCAGUGAAGAGGACCUUUUAGACCUCUGCUCUCAUCUGAGAGAUUCAGAAUAUUUCAGAGACCUGCAACUUGGAUCAGCUGAACCACUAGACACACCACUUCCAGUUUUAACUGCACCUGUUUCUGCCCCUUUGGUACCUCCUGCAUCCACAUCAGAAAGCGGAUCUCGGCAUCAUCAACUUUUCCAGACAGCCGAUGCGAUUUCCACUGGAGGGGAAGCCAUGGAACGCUUGGUUGCUAUCAGAAACUCAGAACAGAAGGAAUUCCAGGAUUAUCCGGAAUCCGAUCAAGAUGAGGACUCGGACACAGAUAACUUUCCUACAUUGGUUAGAUCCAUGUCCACGUCACGUAGACACAGCUGGGAAGUGCCAGUGUCGCCGUUUGACAUGGGAAGAAGGUAAGACUCCCUUUUUCAGUGGCUCCAAAUAAAAAUAAAUGUCAGUGCCA
ensembl:lncRNA